GGGGGCGUAAUGGUUUCGACGGGGGUUUGGAGUUUUCGUAAGCGAGCCGUGUUUUGUUUCGGGUACACGUAAAAGAACGGAACAACUAAAGAUAAACGCAGACAAUAAUUACGCGUUAGCUGCCUAAUAUAAGGUAGCUCGUUGCGCCUGGAUGUCCCGUCAUUCAGGGUCGUGACGUCAUUUAAACGGGGAACGUCGCAAAGGGUGCCUUGACUUUGCGUUGUACAAUCAAGGCUGGUCAAAUCCGCAGUUUGCUACUGAACGGCGGAGGAGAUGAGAAUCCAAAACAGUAGCUGUGCUCGGAGAAAGCGACGACAAAGAGCCUUCGGACAGGAGUUCGACUCUCCUCGCCUCCACCA
rnacentral:tmRNA from 1 species